GAUGAACGCUGGCGGCGUGCCUAACACAUGCAAGUCGAGCGAUUCUCUUCGGAAGAGAGCGGCGGACGGGUGAGUAACGCGUGGGUAACCUGCCCUGUACACACGGAUAACAUACCGAAAGGUAUGCUAAUACGGGAUAAUGUAUUUUGAUCGCAUGGUCGAAAUAUCAAAGCUCCGGCGGUACAGGAUGGACCCGCGUCUGAUUAGCUAGUUGGUGAGGUAAUGGCUCACCAAGGCGACGAUCAGUAGCCGACCUGAGAGGGUGAUCGGCCACAUUGGAACUGAGACACGGUCCAAACUCCUACGGGAGGCAGCAGUGGGGAAUAUUGCACAAUGGGCGAAAGCCUGAUGCAGCAACGCCGCGUGAGCGAUGAAGGCCUUCGGGUCGUAAAGCUCUGUCCUCAAGGAAGAUAAUGACGGUACUUGAGGAGGAAGCCCCGGCUAACUACGUGCCAGCAGCCGCGGUAAUACGUAGGGGGCUAGCGUUAUCCGGAAUUACUGGGCGUAAAGGGUGCGUAGGUGGUUUCUUAAGUCAGAGGUGAAAGGCUACGGCUCAACCGUAGUAAGCCUUUGAAACUGAGAAACUUGAGUGCAGGAGAGGAGAGUAGAAUUCCUAGUGUAGCGGUGAAAUGCGUAGAUAUUAGGAGGAAUACCAGUUGCGAAGGCGGCUCUCUGGACUGUAACUGACACUGAGGCACGAAAGCGUGGGGAGCAAACAGGAUUAGAUACCCUGGUAGUCCACGCCGUAAACGAUGAGUACUAGCUGUCGGAGGUUACCCCCUUCGGUGGCGCAGCUAACGCAUUAAGUACUCCGCCUGGGAAGUACGCUCGCAAGAGUGAAACUCAAAGGAAUUGACGGGGACCCGCACAAGUAGCGGAGCAUGUGGUUUAAUUCGAAGCAACGCGAAGAACCUUACCUAAGCUUGACAUCCUUCUGACCUCUCCCUAAUCGGAGAUUUCCCUUCGGGGACAGAAGUGACAGGUGGUGCAUGGUUGUCGUCAGCUCGUGUCGUGAGAUGUUGGGUUAAGUCCCGCAACGAGCGCAACCCUUGCCUUUAGUUGCCAGCAUUAAGUUGGGCACUCUAGAGGGACUGCCAGGGAUAACCUGGAGGAAGGUGGGGAUGACGUCAAAUCAUCAUGCCCCUUAUGCUUAGGGCUACACACGUGCUACAAUGGGUGGUACAGAGGGUUGCCAAACCGUGAGGUGGAGCUAAUCCCUUAAAGCCAUUCUCAGUUCGGAUUGUAGGCUGAAACUCGCCUACAUGAAGCUGGAGUUACUAGUAAUCGCAGAUCAGAAUGCUGCGGUGAAUGCGUUCCCGGGUCUUGUACACACCGCCCGUCACACCACGGGAGUUGGGGGCGCCCGAAGCCAGAUAGCUAACCUUUUGGAAGCGUCUGUCGAAGGUGAAAUCAAUAACUGGGGUGAAGUCGUAACAAGGUAGCCGUAUCGGAAGGUGCGGCUGGAUCACCUCCUUUCUAAGGAGAAUUACCUACUGUUUAAUUUUGAGAGUUUUUAAUAAAAAAACUCUAUUGACAAUAUUCGACAAAGAUGAUAAAAUAUUUUUCGUUGAAAAAGUUUAAUAAACACAUGGGGGUGUAGCUCAGCUGGGAGAGCACUUGCCUUGCACGCAAGGGGUCAGGAGUUCGAUCCUCCUCAUCUCCACCAUUAGUACUUUGAAAACUGCAUAACAUUUAGUGAUAUGACAUCAUUUUAUAUAUAGACAAGAUAAGUCUUUAAAAUAUCAAACCUAGUAAUUAAGUUUUUUAUUUAUUACAACUUUAAUAACUUGGUCAAGUUAUUAAGGGUGCAGGGCGGAUGCCUUGGCACUAGGAGCCGAUGAAGGACGUGAUAAGCUGCGAUAAGCUUCGGGGAGUUGCACGUAAACUUUGAUCCGAAGAUUUCCGAAUGAGGAAACUCACUUAGAGUAAUGUCUAAGUAUCGUUAAGUGAAUACAUAGCUUAGCGAGGGGAACCCGGGGAACUGAAACAUCUAAGUACCCGGAGGAAAAGAAAGAAAUUCGAUUCCGUAAGUAGCGGCGAGCGAACGCGGAACAGGCCAAACCAAUGAAGUUUUCUUUGUUGGGGUUGCGGACAUGCAACAUGGAUGCACUAUCGUAAAUGAAGAGAGUUGGAAAGCUCCGCCAAAGAAGGUAAUAGCCCUGUAAUUGAAACGAGAAAGCUACUAGCAUGAUCCAGAGUACCACGGGACACGUGAAACCCUGUGGGAAGCAGGAGGGACCAUCCUCCAAGCCUAAAUACUACCUAGUGACCGAUAGCGCAU
rnacentral:rRNA from 1 species